rnacentral:rRNA from 1 species
GACGAACGCUGGCGGCGUGCCUAAUACAUGCAAGUCGACAACAGCGGCGGACGGGUGAGUAACACGUAAGGAACCUACCGAUAAGCGGGGGAUAACAUCCGGAAACGGGUGCUAAUACCGCAUACUUAUCGUUGGCCUUGCGGUGCAUUAGCUAGUUGGUGGGGUAACGGCCUACCAAGGCAAUGAUGCAUAGCCGACCUGAGAGGUUAAUCGGCCACAUUGGGACUGGGACAUGGCCCAAACUCCUACGGGAGGCAGCAGUAGGGAAUCUUCCGCAAUGGGCGCAAGCCUGACAGAGCAACGCCGCGUGAGUGAAGAAGGUUUUCGGAUCGUAAAGCUCUGUGGUAAGAGAAGCGGUAUCUUACCAGAAAGGCACGGCUAACUACGUGCCAGCAGCCGCGGUAAUAC